GUGAAUCAUCGAAUCUUUGAACGCAUAUUGCACUCUCUGGUAUUCCGGAGAGUAUUUCUGUUUUAGGUUAAUUAAAAAUAAUCUUUAACCAAUUUUUUGGUCAAAGGAAAUGAGUUUUCCGCGUUUAUAGCGGUAGCUUGAAAUAAAUGUUCAAGUCUCAUUUUAGUCGAGACUCGUAAUAAUAUUAUUUCGCGAAAUCUUUAUUAUGUGACUAUCAAUUUUUGAUGCAUAUAAUUUUUGUUUGUAUACGAU
rnacentral:misc_RNA from 1 species